CACAAUAAACAUAUGAAGGCUGCACCGCCAACAGGCGGCGAGGCUGGAGUAUUUUAUUACCCUUGUCUUUUGCGCACUUGUUGUUUCCUGGGCGGGUUCGCCCGCCUCCAGGACCACAUGAUAAACCUUUUUUAUGCAGUUGCAAUCAGCGUCAGUACAACAAAUGUAAAUCAUUUA
rnacentral:misc_RNA from 1 species